AAUAGAUACCCUGGUAGUCCACGCCGUAAACGGUGGGCACUAGAUGUGGGGCUCUUUCCAUGAGUUCCGCGUCGCAGCUAACGCGUUAAGUGCCCCGCCUGGGGAGUACGGCCGCAAGGCUAAAACUCAAAGGAAUUGACGGGGGCCCGCACAAGCGGCGGAGCAUGCGGAUUAAUUCGAUGCAACGCGAAGAACCUUACCAAGGCUUGACAUAUACGGUCUAUCCCUAGAGAUAGGGAGUGCUUCGGCGCCGUAUACAGGUGGUGCAUGGUUGUCGUCAGCUCGUGUCGUGAGAUGUUGGGUUAAGUCCCGCAACGAGCGCAACCCUCGUUCUAUGUUGCCAGUACGUAAUGGUGGGGGCUCAUAGGAGACUGCCGGGGUCAACUCGGAGGAAGGUGGGGAUGACGUCAAAUCAUCAUGCCCCUUAUGUCUUGGGCUUCACGCAUGCUACAAUGGCCGGUACAAAGGGCUGCAAUACCGUAAGGUGGAGCGAAUCCCAAAAAGCCGGUCUCAGUUCGGAUUGAGGUCUGC
rnacentral:rRNA from 1 species